UACGUAGGGUGCAAGCGUUGUCCGGAAUUAUUGGGCGUAAAGAGCUCGUAGGCGGUCUGUUGCGUCGGCUGUGAAAACCCGGGGCUCAACUCCGGGCCUGCAGCCGAUACGGGCAGACUAGAGUUCGGCAGGGGAGACUGGAAUUCCUGGUGUAGCGGUGAAAUGCGCAGAUAUCAGGAGGAACACCGGUGGCGAAGGCGCACAUCUGGCCCAAUACUGACGCUGAAGCGCGAAAGCUAGGGGAGCAAACGGG
rnacentral:rRNA from 1 species